GACGAACGCUGGCGGCGUGCUUAACACAUGCAAGUCGAACGGGGCGAAGUGAUAGCUUGCUAUUAUGGAGCCUAGUGGCAAACGGGUGAGUAACGCGUAGGCAACCUGCCCUUCAGAUGGGGACAACACCUCGAAAGGGGUGCUAAUACCGAAUGACGUUUCCUGGUCGCAUGACCUGGAAACCAAAGAUUUAUCGCUGAAAGAUGGGCUCGCGUCUGAUUAGAUAGUUGGUGAGGUAACGGCUCACCAAGGCGACGAUCAGUAGCCGGUCUGAGAGGAUGAACGGCCACAUUGGGACUGAGACACGGCCCAAACUCCUACGGGAGGCAGCAGUGGGGAAUAUUGGUCAAUGGGC
rnacentral:rRNA from 1 species